rnacentral:tRNA from 1 species
GAAGGUAUAGCUCAGUGGUAGGGCGUGUUCUUAGCAUCCACAAGGUCCUGGGUUCGAUCCCCAGUCCCUCCA